rnacentral:lncRNA from 1 species
GCCAGUUACAGGUGUGUGAGUCCCAGAAGCCAUGUCCUGAACCAGACCCAGCAGAGCGGGAGGCCCUGCCAGCACCGGUCACACACCCUAGGACACAAACAAUGUUGUCUGACAUAGACCACCACCACAGUGAGAAGCCUGACCACAGAAAAUUGCUCUAAGACCACUUUUCAAAGCGUGCCGAGUGUGAGAGCUGGUUGUCCAGGCGUCGGCUAGGCGUGUC